rnacentral:tRNA from 1 species
GCGGGCGAAGUGUUACGGCAGCACGCUGGUCUUCCAAACCGGAGGCGGGAGUUCGACUCUCCCUGUCCGCA